rnacentral:rRNA from 1 species
UACGAAGGGGGCUAGCGUUGCUCGGAAUCACUGGGCGUAAAGGGUGCGUAGGCGGGUCUUUAAGUCAGGGGUGAAAUCCUGGAGCUCAACUCCAGAACUGCCUUUGAUACUGAGGAUCUUGAGUCGGGAGAGGUGAGUGGAACUGCGAGUGUAGAGGUGAAAUUCGUAGAUAUUCGCAAGAACACCAGUGGCGAAGGCGGCUCACUGGCCCGAUACUGACGCUGAGGCACGAAAGCGUGGGGAGCAACAGG